UCUACCAACCCAAAACUCAGCCAUGGCUCGAACAUGGUUCACUUCAUCGUUAAUUCGUGUCACUAGUCUGCUUAUCGUGUCCAAAUCACGGCUUAAAAUGUAAGUACCUUUGGCAGCAACGUCGAGCCGAGCCGCUGUUUUUGUUAACUUAUUCCUUAAACCGGCUGGUUUAAAUUGAGAGGCUAAAAGAGUCGGAGCGGCUAGAAACAAAGCAAAAGCGUGAGAGGCUAUGGUUACAAUCAAUGUAGUGGUUAGAGCCAAAACGAGAAGCCCUGAGCUAUGAGUUAGUCCGUUGAUAAGCUUAAGUUUGGCUCGUGUCUUGUCUCGUCUCGACUCUAGCCGUUUUAGCAAGUAUAAACAGCCGGAUCUGAUUAGCUGGAUCCUAGAACCCGACGAGAUAAACGGGUCGAACCAUUUUGAUAUCUCCGUGAAUUGGUCUAUUAAAGCC
rnacentral:sRNA from 1 species